GUCAACAGUGAGCUGUGCGAAAACAGUUUGCUACAAUUUCUCUCCUUCUGAAUCUCUAACUUCAACUUGUGUAACCAGAAAUACCUCGAUUGGGGCACUACUGCAGAACUGUCCUGUAGCUGAGACGGCUGCUCUCAACCAUCUUUCUUUGUAAUCAGCACCUUACAGGUCUGGUGGCCUUGAGGAUAAAUCACUACCAGUCGUUCCUCUCUCCAAUGGAAGAGCAGCCUUAAUGGUCUGGUAACACUAUGGCAACACAACAACUCCUCUUUAUCGCUGAUACCUCCUCCAGCCUGUGAAUCUCGGCAUGCCACAGUACUUAGUUUGAGAAUCAGCGGAGCGAAGGCUGAACAGGAGCGGA